UUCCCGUUGUGGCUCAGUGGUUAACAAAUCUGACUAGAAACCAUGAGGGAUCCCUGGCCUUGCUCAGUGGGUUAAGGGUCCAGCGUUGCUGUGAGCUGUGGUGUAGGUCACAGAUGUGGCUCAGAUCCCGAGUUACUGUGGCCCUGGCGUGCGCCGGCGGCUACAGCUCUGAUUAGACCCCUGGCCUGGGAACCUUUGUAUGCCACAGGAGCAGCCCUAGAAAAGGCAAAAAGACCAAAAAAAAAAAGGAGGACCUCAAGUUCUGAUCAGUCAAGAUACUGGAGAAUCUUUAUACAAUGUACAGAAAUUCCAAGGUGAAACUGAUUUCCAAAGAGAUGAAUAACAGGAAAGCAUGUGCAGAGUGCUAUCUGGAGGAUAUAGCAAACAUUGUCAUGCCAUGGAUCUUGAAGUAUAGAAACAACUUCCUAAAGAUGGUGCACUGGCAAGAUAGGAACCUUAGUUUCUGAUGACACUCUGUAGAUGCCCUAUCAGCCCUGGAUGGCCUACAUCCUUUGAACUUGUUUUAGGUAAGAGAGAAAUAUAUUUCUAUUUAGUUUAAAUGAUUAUUUUAAAUGUUCUCUUAUAUGCAGACAGACUUAAUUCUGAUAUAGAUACUUAGGCUGAUUCUAAUUUUCUGCUGUUAUAAACUAUGCUGCAAUUAGCAUACUUGUCCAAACAUCUCUGCACAUUUGAGAAAUUUUUGAAUGUCUAAAAGUUGAAUUGUCAGUUAAAAGAUUUAUGAACAAUUUUUAUUGUCUUGUGAAAUAUCUUCCCAACUUGGGAAGACAUUCUUAAUGGGGAUAUUCUUGGAAAAUGAACAAAUGGAGUGGGAAAAUGUGGGACACUAAGUGAAAGCAUGAUACUGGGAUAUGGUUGACAUAACAUGGCAAAUGUAAAUGAGAGCCAGAUAUUCCCAUGUCAAGUUAAAAAUCCAUUCUACUAUUCCCUUUACUAGGAUGGCUGAGUCAAAUUCAAAAAUAUAAAAAAUAACCCAAUAAAACAGUUGCAUUUCAGGCUGUUGCAGAUUCUUAAGACAUUCAUUUGAUUGUAAAGCAGUAGGUAGACACACACACACACACACACACAAACACAUGCUACUAUGCUGGAUUUAUUUCCUUCCAUGAUCCUUAGUUAACUCUGGAUUAUUGGGAGAUUAUUAUUGUUAGAUUAUUUUUAGAUUAUGUAAAAAAGUGGUAAG
rnacentral:lncRNA from 9 species